rfam:Gonapodya prolifera JEL478 unplaced genomic scaffold M427scaffold_137, whole genome shotgun sequence.
CUUGUCGUAGUUCAGAGGAAAGAACGUCUGGCUUCGGACCAGAAGGUCGCAGGUUCGAUCCCUGCCGACGGCG